GUUUGCCAGCUGAGGUCACAAAGUGCUGCUUUUCAAGCAAGCCUUAAAAUGCCCUGCAAGGGGGAUGCCUCUCAGAUGUCAGUGAGAGACUGAAAAAUGAAUUCUGAAGGUCCUAAGAGCCUAUUGUGGCGCCGGAAGGAGAAUGAAACUUUGGCCGUUGUGGGCCAUGGUUUGGGAAAGGCGGCAGCAGCAGCAGCAGCAGCCCAGCAGCAGCCCAGCGGUGCAGCAAAAUCCAGCAAAAUGUGGAGGCGAGAGGCCAGCCAGAACAAGGGG